rfam:Echinostoma caproni strain Egypt genome assembly, scaffold: ECPE_scaffold0011279
GGCCUCGUAGCUCAGCUGGUAGAGCAUGCGCGUACAAAGCGUAGGCGGUGUCCAUGCGUGAGUUCGAAUCCCACCGAGGCUA